rnacentral:lncRNA from 1 species
AGAGGACCCGGAGCAUUAUCUGAAUGAACUAAUGACCAACAGGCGGGCAGAAAUGAGUGCUGCGGAUUGAUAACAGGGACAGCCAGACCCCCUCCCAUCCCCACGAGGCAGAGGCACCAGGCCACCUGGCUUUCCCACACAUCAACCUCGUGCUCACACCCCACUCUGGAGACCACCAGCUUCGAGGCAAAAAGAGAGAACGACGUACAAUGGGGUAAAGCCUCCAUGUGUAGGCGAUGUUGUGAGGAAAGGGUGGCCGGUUGGAAGGGAACAUUUUUAAAUUGAGGUUAUUGUUUAUAUUUUCUCAUAAACAGCUUCUCUGUGGCCACAAGUUAUUUCGGUCAUUUUCACAGCUUCCUCAGAUAUCUGGAAAACCUUUCGACUCAUUAUUAAAAAAUAAAACAAGAUUACUUACUAAAACUUGGCCAAAAGCAUGGAAGAGCCUCCUUUUCAGAAAAUGACAGGAAAGUAGAUUUCUUAUCUAAAAGAGAAAUAUUAGGCUGGGCACAGUGGCUCACACCUGUAAUCCCAGCACUUUGGGAGGCCAAGGCAGGUGGAUCACCUGAGGUCAGGAGUUUGAAACCAGCCUGAAUAUGAUGACACCCCGUCUCUACGAAAAGUACAAAAAUUAGCUGGGCUUGGUGGCGGCCACCUAUAGUCCCAGCUACUCAGGAGGCUGAGACAGGAGAAUUCCUUGAACCCGGGAGGCGGAGGCUGCAGUGAGCCGAGAUCGCGCCACUGCACUCCAGACUGGGCAACAGAGCAAGACUCUGUCUCUAAAUAAAUAAAUUAAUUAAAUCGAAUUAAAUUAAAUAAGAGAAAUAUUAGGUUGAAAUCCUGUUCCUUAUGGGUCAAGCUAAUUCUUUUCAGUAUAUUAAAUAAUUUUUUUCCUUCUAUUUUUUUCCCUUUCCUUUCCAAAUCCCCCAGCAUCUUCCCUCAUCCACCCCAUUUCAAAGAGGGUUCUGCUUGCAGGAACUCAAAGCUCAGAGCUUUUAGCUUCCCAAAGCCCUAUUUCCAAACUAAAGCAAAGGUCCUUUAGAAUUUGCACGGCGGGCUGUGCAAAAUGAGAGAGAAGGAAAUCGCUGGCAGAAAUAUCCCCGAAGAAGGGAUUUCUCCCCCAAAGACCAGAAAGCAAUUCUUCUAGGUUAGGGGAAUGAGGAGACAUACAGAGAAAACAAGAGGCUUGGGAGUUCCUCAUGAAAGGACUGGACCUGGAGUGGCCAUGCAGGAGAGGUGCAAGGGACUUGGAGCCCCUGAAGCUUCAGGAGAGCUGCGUGGCCCAUGUCCUGCUGCACCGGCAGCCAUCACGCCCAUGAGCCCUGCCUGUGUCCAGAAACAGUGCUGCUGUCCUUGACCUCGUCACUCUGCAAGGACUUCGCUUCCCCAGCAGGCAGUUCACCUCUGGAUACCCCUCCCUGAUGCAAACUUUGCUCAUGUCAUGUCUAUCAAGAUCAAGAAAAUGGAGCCCAUAACUGAGAUCAGCACAUGGGUAAGGAAACUGCUGAAUGGAAGGAGCUCCAAGACCUGGAACUGAGACCGAAGCUGGCAACAUGGCGGGAUGUUGCACCCCCCACACACACGCUCACACGUGGUUUUCAUUCCUUCUUUCAUAUUACGGCGGGCGUGGAAUUACCAGUCAAUUUGACAUUUAUAAAUACAUUAACUAGCGCUUCCAAUUCUUCUCCUGCUUCCAAGUUUGUUCUCACCACCUCACAGAAAAUGCUGGGGACAGAAUUAAAUGCAGAGUAAUCUAAACAAGCUUUGAUAUGUCAUAUGUCUUUCCUACUGAAUAAGCUAAACCAACCAGGGUAAUUUAGUGAUACUUGGGCAAGAAAACUAGGAAUUACGCACACUUUCCUUUUCCAAAUUCCCCACAUGGAAGUCUGUGAAUUCUACUGCAAUUACAGUGGUAUAAUAAAAAAGAUAUGCUUGGCU